rnacentral:rRNA from 1 species
CCCCCUGAAUUUAAGCAUAUUAAUGAGGGGAGGAAAAGAAACUAACAAGGAUUUUCUUAGUAGCGGCGAGCGAAAAGAAAAUAGUUCAGCACUAAGUCACUUUGUCUUUAUGGCAAAUGUGAGAUGCAGUGUAUGGAAUGUCAAAUUUCUAGUAUGAGAAAUUAACUAUUUAAGUCCUUCUUAAAUGAGGCCAUUUACCCAAAGAGGGUGCCAGGCCCGUAUAAAGUUAAUGAUUACUAGAUGGCAUUUCCAAAGAGUCGUGUUGCUUGAUAGUGCAGCACUAAGUGGGUGGUAAACUCCAUCUAAAACUAAAUAUAACCAUGAGACCGAUAGUAAACAAGUACCGUGAGGGAAAGUUGAAAAGAACUCUGAAUAGAGAGUUAAAUAGUACGUGAAACUGCUUAGAGGUUAAGCCCGAUGAACCUGAAUAUCCGUUAUAGAAAAUUCAUCAUUAUGAUUUUAAUAUUAAUAAUAUUAUAAUAAUGGUGUGCAUUUUUUCUAUAUAUGGACAUUGUAAUCUAUUAACAGUUUAUUCAAAUUAUUUUGCUUGCAAUUUAAUAUAGAAUAAAUGCUCAUGAUUUGAUAAAGUGUUGAUAGAUUUAUUAUAUAUAGUGCUUAAAUAUUUAUAUUUUAUAAUAGCAUAUUAAUCAUUGAUUUUUAUGUUUAUUAUAUGCACUUAUAUGAUUAACAAUGCGAAAGAUUCAGGAUACCUUCGGGACCCGUCUUGAAACACGGACCAAGGAGUCUAACAUAUUUGCAAGUUAUUGGGAAUUAAAACCUAAUAGCGUAAUUAACAUAACUUUAAUGGGAUUAGUUUUUAGCCUAUUUAGUCUAUUAAUUCAAUCCCGGGGCGUUCUAUACAGUUAUGUAUAAUAAUAUUUAUAUUAUUUAUACCUCUAACUAGAGCGUACCUUGAGCAUAUAUGCUGUGACCCGAAAGAUGGUGAACUAUACUUGAUCAGGUUGAAGUCAGGGGAAACCCUGAUGGAAGACCGAAACAGUUCUGACGUGCAAAUCGAUUGUCAGAAUUGAGUAUAGGGGCGAAAGACCAAUCGAACCAUCUAGUAGCUGGUUCCCUCCGAAGUUUCCCUCAGGAUAGCUGGUGCAUUUAAAAAUUAUGUAAAAUAAUCUUAUCUGGUAAAGCGAAUGAUUAGAGGCAUUAGGGUCGAAACGACCUUAACCUAUUCUCAAACUUUAAAUGGGUAAGAACCUCACCUUUCUUGGUAUGAAGGUCGUGGUUGUGAUAUAAUGUGCCCAGUGGGCCACUUUUGGUAAGCAGAACUGGCGCUGUGGGAUGAACCAAACGUAAUGUUACGGUGCCCAAAUUAACAACUCAUGCAGAUACCAUGAAAGGCGUUGGUUGCUUAAAACAGCAGGACGGUGGACAUGGAAGUCGUAAUCCGCUAAGGAGUGUGUAAAUGAUCCGAGUUAGUCGGUCCUAAGUUCAAGGCGAAAGCCGAAAAUUUUCAAGUAACAAUGAAAAUUUUCUGUUUUAUAGUCGUACUACCAUGGAAGUCUUUCGAAGAGAGAUAUGGUAGAUGGACUAGAAGAGCAUGACAUUUACUGUUGUGUCGAUAUUUUCUCCUCGGACCUUGAAAAUUUAUGGUGGGGUCACGCAAACUUCUCAACAGGCCGUACCAAUAUCCGCAGGCUGGUCUCCAGGUGAAGAGUCUCUAGUCGA